GUUGCAAAAAUUCAGUUUUAUAUUUUGAAAGGUGGUAAGCAAAGCCCAAGGAAAAGCCUGAAAGCAUAUUUUACAUCUUAGGACUUACCUCAAUGUAUGCCGGUUCUGUCCCAGCAGGUGAGAUGUGUGGCUGCCAGUCUUUCGGUGGCUUUGAAAGGUACUUGGAAUCUGUUACAACCCAUUUGAGCCGGGGCCAACCUAAAUCAAACCCAAAGUGAAAAUUGAAUUGCCUAAGCCAUCAGGGAAUGAAUUCACACUGAACUGGUCAUUUUAAAUAUCAAGAGACCAAAUUAAGAUCAUUUUAUAAUCAAUAAAAUACUUAGUUUUUAUUAGUUUUUAGUGGCAAAUCACCAGACAAUUAUACCUUCUUUCAAAAGUACAAUCGUUCCACAUGCUAAUUAGUAACAGUUAUACCUCAGGGUCAUUACUUCACUCAGACAAUGGGC
rnacentral:lncRNA from 1 species